rnacentral:rRNA from 1 species
UACGUAGGGGGCUAGCGUUGUCCGGAUUCAUUGGGCGUAAAGGGUGCGUAGGCGGCGCGGUAAGUCGGGUGUGAAAUCUCGGGGCUUAACUCCGAAACUGCAUUCGAUACUGCCGUGCUUGAGGACUGGAGAGGAGACUGGAAUUUACGGUGUAGCGGUGAAAUGCGUAGAUAUCGUAAGGAAGACCAGUGGCGAAGGCGGGUCUCUGGACAGUUCCUGACGCUGAGGCACGAAGGCCAGGGGAGCAAACGGG